GACGAACGCUGGCGGCGUGCCUAAUACAUGCAAGUCGAGCGAAGUUUUUCUGGUGCUUGCACUAGAAAAACUUAGCGGCGAACGGGUGAGUAACACGUAAAGAACCUGCCUCAUAGACUGGGACAACUAUUGGAAACGAUAGCUAAUACCGGAUAACAGUAUUUCUCGCAUGAGAGAUAUUUAAAAGUUGGUUAUGCUAACACUAUGAGAUGGCUUUGCGGUGCAUUAGCUAGUUGGUGGGGUAAAGGCCCACCAAGGCGACGAUGCAUAGCCGACCUGAGAGGGUGAUCGGCCACACUGGGACUGAGACACGGCCCAGACUCCUACGGGAGGCAGCAGUAGGGAAUCUUCCGCAAUGGGCGAAAGCCUGACGGAGCAACGCCGCGUGAGUGAAGAAGGAUUUCGGUUCGUAAAGCUCUGUUGUUAGGGAAGAAUGGAUAUGUAGUAACUAUACAUGUAAGAGUCGGUACCUAACCAGAAAGCCACGGCUAACUACGUG
rnacentral:rRNA from 1 species